rnacentral:tRNA from 1 species
AGGGCCCGUGGCUUAGCCAGGAUAUAGCGCUGGCCUUCUAAGCCAGACGCCUCGGGUUCGAAAGUCCCCUAAUAAGGAACCGAAAGUCCCGACGGGCCCGCC